GAACAAAGGCCUGGAGACUGGAACGAGCUGCGUUCUUGGGGGUGGGGGGUGGCAGCUGGAGAGUGGGGGCUUCCCCAGCGGGAGGGGGAGGACGAUUCUGGAGGGCUUCCCUCCUUGUGUGCAGAGUGAGUCUCUGCUAUGAGAAAGGUGUUUUACAUAUGGCUCGGGAGCCAGCAAGUGCUAUGAAGCCCCUUCACAUGGCUAGUGGCAUCCUGAGGGCCCGGCGACAAUUAGUCAUGGCGUCAUCGAACACCAGGCUGGAGGAGGUCUUGGAUGCCACAGCUCCUUUUGAAUUUCAAAGAAGUUCAAAUCCCCAUCUGGCUGUUACACUUUUAGGGUAUUGAGAGUGAAAACAAGCACUGACAUGAACACCCAACCAGCUGCUGGUGACAUCAUCCCCUUCUGAGAUCUGAGGACAUGAACACCCAACCACCUGCCAGUGACAUCGCCUCCUUCUGAGAUCUGAGGACAUGGACACCCAACCACCUGCCGGUGACAUCGUCUCCUUCUGAGAUCUGAGGACAUGGACACCCAACCAGCUGCUGGUGACAUUGUCUGCUUCUGAGGUCUGAGGACAGACACUCACAUAGACACCCAAUCAGCUGCUGGUGACAUCGUCUGCUUCUGGAAUCUGAGGGUUGGAACACAUUGGCCUGGCUCAGUGUUUCUCCAUGUGGUUUUGACACCACCUGAGUUGGAAUCAAUGUGGGUUCCCAGCCUCAUGCCUGGAGAGUUGGAUUUUGCGAGUGUGAGGUUAGGUCCAGCAUCUGCAUGUGUAACGAGCUCCCAGGUGUUUCGUAGAUGCAGUAGGGCUUGAGAAGCUCCUUUCUAGCACCAUCUUCCCUUUUGCGCAUGAGGGAGUUCAGGUCCAGAGAAAUAAAGCAGCAAGGUUAGUGGC
rnacentral:lncRNA from 1 species